AAUGCGAUGCUCUACCUCUGAGCUAAGUGGGC
rnacentral:tRNA from 2 species